rnacentral:piRNA from 1 species
UAGUAAAAGGUGGAGGAUAUUUUAGUCUCU